UACGAAGGGGGCUAGCGUUGCUCGGAAUCACUGGGCGUAAAGGGUGCGUAGGCGGGUUUUUAAGUCAGGGGUGAAAUCCUGGAGCUCAACUCCAGAACUGCCUUUGAUACUGAAAAUCUUGAGUUCGGGAGAGGUGAGUGGAACUGCGAGUGUAGAGGUGAAAUUCGUAGAUAUUCGCAAGAACACCAGUGGCGAAGGCGGCUCACUGGCCCGAUACUGACGCUGAGGCGCGAAAGCGUGGGGAGCAAACAGG
rnacentral:rRNA from 1 species